rnacentral:rRNA from 1 species
UACGUAGGUGGCAAGCGUUGUCCGGAUUUAUUGGGUUUAAAGGGUGCGUAGGCGGUCCUAUAAGUCAGUGCUGAAAUAUCCCGGCUUAACCGGGAGGGUGGCAUUGAUACCGUAGGACUUGAGUAAAGUUGAGGUAAGCGGAAUUGACGGUGUAGCGGUGAAAUGCUUAGAUAUCGUCAAGAACACCUAUUGCGAAGGCAGCUUACUAAGCUUUAACUGACGCUGAGGCACGAAAGUGUGGGGAUCAAACAGG